rnacentral:rRNA from 1 species
UACGAGGGGGGCGAGCGUUGUUCGGAAUUAUUGGGCGUAAAGGGCGCGUAGGCGGUCGGAUAAGUCUUGUGUGAAAUCUUCGGGCUCAACUCGAAGUCUGCACAGGAAACUAUCUGGCUUGAGUGUGGGAGAGGUGAGUGGAAUUCCUGGUGUAGCGGUGAAAUGCGUAGAUAUUGGGAGGAACACCAGUGGCGAAGGCGGCUCACUGGACCGGAACUGACGCUGAGGCGCGAAAGCGUGGGGAGCAAACAGG